rnacentral:rRNA from 1 species
ACACGGGGGGCGCAAGCGUUAUUCGGAAUUAUUGGGCGUAAAGGGCGUGUAGGCGGUUUUAUCGGUCAGAUGUGAAAGCCCAGGGCUCAACCCUGGACGUGCAUUUGAGACAGUAAGACUUGAGUACGGUAGAGGAAAGCGGAAUUCCUGGUGUAGAGGUGAAAUUCGUAGAUAUCAGGAGGAACACCGAUGGCGAAGGCAGCUUUCUGGACCGAAACUGACGCUGAUGCGCGAAGGCGUGGGUAGCGAACAGGAUUAGAAACCCCAGUAGUCC